rnacentral:rRNA from 1 species
CCGGGGUGCCUUCGGGAGCGCAGAGACAGGUGCUGCAUGGCUGUCGUCAGCUCGUGUUGUGAAAUGUUGGGUUAAGUCCCGUAACGAGCGCAACCCUUGUCCCUAUUUGCCAGCGAUUCGGUCGGGAACUCUAGGGAGACUGCCGGUGACAAACCGGAGGAAGGUGGGGACGACGUCAAGUCAUCAUGGCCCUUACGGGUAGGGCUACACACGUGCUACAAUGGCCGGUACAAAGGGUUGCGAAAGCGCGAGCUGAAGCUAAUCCCGAAAAGCCGGUCUCAGUCCGGAUCGGAGUCUGCAACUCGACUCCGCGAAGUCGGAAUCGCUAGUAAUCGUGCAUCAGAAUGGCACGGUGAAUACGUUCCCGGGCCUUGUACACACCGCCCGUCACACCAUGGAAGUGGACUGCACCAGAAGUGGUUAGCUUAACCUUCGGGAGAGCGAUCACCACGGUGUGGUUCAUGACUGGGGUGAAGUCGUAACAAGGUAGCCGUAGGGGAACCUGCGGCUGGAUCACCUCCUUAAACGA